rnacentral:sRNA from 1 species
UGGACGACGUUGACGUUAAGUGCCUUA